GAUGAACGCUGGCGGCGUGCCUAACACAUGCAGGUCGAACGGAGUCCAGCCUUUAAGACCUUCGGGUCAAAGAGGGGAAGACUGAGUGGCGGACGGGUGAGUAACACGUGGGCAACCUGGCUCAUAGAGGGGGAUAACAGAGAGAAAUUUCUGCUAAUACCGCAUAAGCACACACUGCCGCAUGGCAGAGGGUGAAAAGAGAAUCGCUAUGAGAUGGACCCGCGUCUGAUUAGCCAGUUGGCAGGGUAAGAGCCUACCAAAGCGACGAUCAGUAGCCGAUCUGAGAGGAUGAACGGACACAUUGGGACUGAGACACGGCCCAAACUCCUACGGGAGGCAGCAGUGGGGGAUAUUGCACAAUGGGGGGAACCCUGAUGCAGCGACGCCGCGUGAGUGAAGAAGUAUUUCGGUAUGUAAAGCUCUAUCAGCAGGGAAGAUAAUGACAGUACCUGAAUAAGAAGCCCCGGCUAACUACGUG
rnacentral:rRNA from 1 species